rnacentral:rRNA from 1 species
UCCCUGAUGUUAGCGGCGGACGGGUGAGUAACACGUGGUGUAACCUGCCUGUAAGACUGGGAUAACUCCGGGAAACCGGGGCUAAUACCGGAUGGUUGUUUGAACCGCAUGGUUCAAACAUAAAAGGUGGCUUCGGCUACCACUUACAGAUGGACCCGCGGCGCAUUAGCUAGUUGGUGAGGUAACGGCUCACCAAGGCAACGAUGCGUAGCCGACCUGAGAGGGUGAUCGGCCACACUGGGACUGAGACCCGGCCCAGACUCCUACGGGAGGCAGCAGUAGGGAAUCUUCCGCAAUGGACGAAAGUCUGACGGAGCAACGCCGCGUGAGUGAUGAAGGUUUUCGGAUCGUAAAGCUCUGUUGUUAGGGAAGAACAAGUACCGUUCGAAUAGGGCGGUACCUUGACGGUACCUAACCAGAAAGCCACGGCUAACUACGUGCCAGCAGCCGCGGUAAUACGUAGGUGGCAAGCGUUGUCCGGAAUUAUUGGGCGUAAAGGGCUCGCAGGCGGUUUCUUAAGUCUGAUGUGAAAGCCCCCGGCUCAACCGGGGAGGGUCAUUGGAAACUGGGGAACUUGAGUGCAGAAGAGGAGAGUGGAAUUCCACGUGUAGCGGUGAAAUGCGUAAAGAUGUGGAGGAACACCAGUGGCGAAGGCGACUCUCUGGUCUGUAACUGACGCUGAGGAGCGAAAGCGUGGGG